rnacentral:lncRNA from 1 species
AGAAAUGAGUGACAUUGGAGUAGUAGGAUUGCUAGAUGUACCCUCCAAGGUGUUGGCCUCUUUAGAGAGAAAAUGGAGAGACAAUUCUCACCAAUUUUCCCCCAAAAUAAACCCUUAAUCACAUUAAUGAAUAUUUGGCUAUAAAGUCAUUUAUAUAGUCACUUCUUUAAGUGACCUAAACAACCAAAAAACCCUAAUUCAUCUUCAUGGCCGGCCAUAUAGAGAGAUUUGGGCUUUUGGGCCUUAAUGAAUCUUUAUUCAUUAAUUGUCAUACAACUUAAGUUAAUGGGCUUGACGUUCGAAGCCCAUUGGGCCUUAAGGUCCAAAACUAUCC